rnacentral:piRNA from 1 species
UUCAUCAGCAAUAUUCCAUUAGUCAGGGGA